GCAGGUCCUGGAUCAGCCUGAUGUCUUUAAACCAGCCUUAUUAUAGAGGGGAUCAGCAGGUCCUGGAUCAGUCUGAUGUCUUUAAACCAGCCUUAUUAUAGAGGGGAUCGGCAGGUCCUGGAUCAGCCUGAUGUCUUUAAACCAGCCUUAUUAUAGAGGGGAUCGGCAGGUCCUGGAUCAGUCUGAUGUCUUUAAACCAGCCUUAUUAUAGAGGGGAUCAGCAGGUCCUGGAUCAGUCUGAUGUCUUUAAACCAGCCUUAUUAUAGAGGGGAUCAGCAGGUCCUGGAUCAGUCUGAUGUCUUUAAACCAGCCUUAUUAUAGAGGGGAUCAGCAGGUCCUGGAUCAGCCUGAUGUCUUUAAACCAGCCUUAUUAUAGAGGGGAUCGGCAGGUCCUGGAUCAGUCUGAUGUCUUUAAACCAGCCUUAUUAUAGAGGGGAUCGGCAGGUCCUGGAUCAGUCUGAUGUCUUUAAACCAGCCUUAUUAUAGAGGGGAUCGGCAGGUCCUGGAUCAGUCUGAUGUCUUUAAACCAGCCUUAUUAUAGAGGGGAUCGGCAGGUCCUGGAUCAGUCUGAUGUCUUUAAACCAGCCUUAUUAUAGAGGGGAUCGGCAGGUCCUGGAUCAGUCUGAUGUCUUUAAACCAGCCUUAUUAUAGAGGGGAUCAGCAGGUCCUGGAUCAGUCUGAUGUCUUUAAACCAGCCUUAUUAUAGAGGGGAUCAGCAGGUCCUGGAUCAGUCUGAGGUCUUUAAACCAGCCUUAUUAUAGAGGGGAUCGGCAGGUCCUGGAUCAGUCUGAUGUCUUUAAACCAGCCUUAUUAUAGAGGGGAUCAGCAGGUCCUGGAUCAGUCUGAUGUCUUUAAACCAGCCUUAUUAUAGAGGGGAUCAGCAGGUCCUGGAUCAGUCUGAUGUCUUUAAACCAGCCUUAUUAUAGAGGGGAUCGGCAGGUCCUGGAUCAGUCUGAUGUCUUUAAACCAGCCUUAUUAUAGAGGGGAUCAGCAGGUCCUGGAUCAGUCUGAUGUCUUUAAACCAGCCUUAUUAUAGAGGGGAUCAGCAGGUCCUGGAUCAGUCUGAUGUCUUUAAACCAGCCUUAUUAUAGAGGGGAUCAGCAGGUCCUGGAUCAGUCUGAUGUCUUUAAACCAGCCUUAUUAUAGAGGGGAUCAGCAGGUCCUGGAUCAGUCUGAUGUCUUUAAACCAGCCUUAUUAUAGAGGGGAUCGGCAGGUCCUGGAUCAGUCUGAUGUCUUUAAACCAGCCUUAUUAUAGAGGGGAUCGGCAGGUCCUGGAUCAGUCUGAUGUCUUUAAACCAGCCUUAUUAUAGAGGGGAUCAGCAGGUCCUGGAUCAGUCUGAUGUCUUUAAACCAGCCUUAUUAUAGAGGGGAUCAGCAGGUCCUGGAUCAGUCUGAAGUCUUUAAACCAGCCUUAUUAUAGAGGGGAUCAGCAGGUCCUGGAUCAGUCUGAUGUCUUUAAACCAGCCUUAUUAUAGAGGGGAUCGGCAGGUCCUGGAUCAGUCUGAUGUCUUUAAACCAGCCUUAUUAUAGAGGGGAUCAGCAGGUCCUGGAUCAGUCUGAUGUCUUUAAACCAGCCUUAUUAUAGAGGGGAUCGGCAGGUCCUGGAUCAGUCUGAUGUCUUUAAACCAGCCUUAUUAUAGAGGGGAUCGGCAGGUCCUGGAUCAGUCUGAUGUCUUUAAACCAGCCUUAUUAUAGAGGGGAUCAGCAGGUCCUGGAUCAGUCUGAAGUCUUUAAACCAGCCUGAUGUCUUUAAACCAGCCUUAUUAUAGAGGGGAUCGGCAGGUCCUGGAUCAGUCUGAUGUCUUUAAACCAGCCUUAUUAUAGAGGGGAUCGGCAGGUCCUGGAUCAGUCUGAUGUCUUUAAACCAGCCUUAUUAUAGAGGGGAUCAGCAGGUCCUGGAUCAGUCUGAUGUCUUUAAACCAGCCUUAUUAUAGAGGGGGUCGGCAGGUCCUGGAUCAGUCUGAAUGGAAGUGGGGGGUUAAGAAGCUCCCCUGUUCCUCGAGGCGAGAGACCAGACAUCACCAACACCUACAGUAUCCAGCUGCUACUGAUGGGACCACACACAGGGGUCAGGGAGGGAGAUGGUAUUGUCUUUGGUCCCUGUGUGUGUGUGUUUCCGUCACGUGCUGUAGGCCUGGUCUCCCAGUCCGAUGCC